GUACGUACAAGCAGUGGGAGCACCCUUUGGGUGUGACUGCGUACCUUUUGUAUAAUGGGUCAGCGACUUAUAUUCUGUAGCAAGGUUAACCGAAUAGGGGAGCCGGAGGGAAACCGAGUCUUAAUUGGGCGUUAAGUUGCAGGGUAUAGACCCGAAACCCGGUGAUCUAGCCAUGGGCAGGUUGAAGGUUGGGUAACACUAACUGGAGGACCGAACCGACUAAUGUUGAAAAAUUAGCGGAUGACCUGUGGCUGGGGGUGAAAGGCCAAUCAAACCGGGAGAUAGCUGGUUCUCCCCGAAAGCUAUUUAGGUAGCGCCUCGUGAAUUCAUCUCCGGGGGUAGAGCACUGUUUCGGCUAGGGGGCCAUCCCGGCUUACCAACCCGAUGCAAACUGCGAAUACCGGAGAAUGUUAUCACGGGAGACACACGGCGGGUGCUAACGUCCGUCGUGAAGAGGGAAACAACCCAGACCGCCAGCUAAGGUCCCAAAGUCAUGGUUAAGUGGGAAACGAUGUGGGAAGGCCCAGACAGCCAGGAUGUUGGCUUAGAAGCAGCCAUCAUUUAAAGAAAGCGUAAUAGCUCACUGGUCGAGUCGGCCUGCGCGGAAGAUGUAACGGGGCUAAACCAUGCACCGAAGCUGCGGCAGCGACACUGUGUGUUGUUGGGUAGGGGAGCGUUCUGUAAGCCUGUGAAGGUGUGUCGUGAGGCAUGCUGGAGGUAUCAGAAGUGCGAAUGCUGACAUAAGUAACGAUAAAGCGGGUGAAAAGCCCGCUCGCCGGAAGACCAAGGGUUCCUGUCCAACGUUAAUCGGGGCAGGGUGAGUCGACCCCUAAGGCGAGGCCGAAAGGCGUAGUCGAUGGGAAACGGGUUAAUAUUCCCGUACUUGGUGUUACUGCGAAGGGGGGACGGAGAAGGCUAUGUUGGCCGGGCGACGGUUGUCCCGGUUUAAGCGUGUAGGUGUGUGUUCCAGGUAAAUCCGGUUCACUUUAACACUGAGGCGUGACGACGAGGCACUACGGUGCUGAAGCAACAAAUGCCCUGCUUCCAGGAAAAGCCUCUAAGCAUCAGGUAACAUCAAAUCGUACCCCAAACCGACACAGGUGGUCAGGUAGAGAAUACCAAGGCGCUUGAGAGAACUCGGGUGAAGGAACUAGGCAAAAUGGUGCCGUAACUUCGGGAGAAGGCACGCUGACACGUAGGUGAAGUGAUUUACUCAUGGAGCUGAAGUCAGUCGAAGAUACCAGCUGGCUGCAACUGUUUAUUAAAAACACAGCACUGUGCAAACACGAAAGUGGACGUAUACGGUGUGACGCCUGCCCGGUGCCGGAAGGUUAAUUGAUGGGGUCAGCGCAAGCGAAGCUCCUGAUCGAAGCCCCGGUAAACGGCGGCCGUAACUAUAACGGUCCUAAGGUAGCGAAAUUCCUUGUCGGGUAAGUUCCGACCUGCACGAAUGGCGUAAUGAUGGCCAGGCUGUCUCCACCCGAGACUCAGUGAAAUUGAACUCGCUGUGAAGAUGCAGUGUACCCGCGGCAAGACGGAAAGACCCCGUGAACCUUUACUAUAGCUUGACACUGAACAUUGAGCCUUGAUGUGUAGGAUAGGUGGGAGGCUUUGAAGUGUGGACGCCAGUCUGCAUGGAGCCGACCUUGAAAUACCACCCUUUAAUGUUUGAUGUUCUAACGUGGACCCGUUACCCGGGUUGCGGACAGUGUCUGGUGGGUAGUUUGACUGGGGCGGUCUCCUCCUAAAGAGUAACGGAGGAGCACGAAGGUUGGCUAAUCCUGGUCGGACAUCAGGAGGUUAGUGCAAUGGCAUAAGCCAGCUUGACUGCGAGCGUGACGGCGCGAGCAGGUGCGAAAGCAGGUCAUAGUGAUCCGGUGGUUCUGAAUGGAAGGGCCAUCGCUCAACGGAUAAAAGGUACUCCGGGGAUAACAGGCUGAUACCGCCCAAGAGUUCAUAUCGACGGCGGUGUUUGGCACCUCGAUGUCGGCUCAUCACAUCCUGGGGCUGAAGUAGGUCCCAAGGGUAUGGCUGUUCGCCAUUUAAAGUGGUACGCGAGCUGGGUUUAGAACGUCGUGAGACAGUUCGGUCCCUAUCUGCCGUGGGCGCUGGAGAACUGAGGGGGGCUGCUCCUAGUACGAGAGGACCGGAGUGGACGCAUCACUGGUGUUCGGGUUGUCAUGCCAAUGGCACUGCCCGGUAGCUAAAUGCGGAAGAGAUAAGUGCUGAAAGCAUCUAAGCACGAAACUUGCCCCGA
rnacentral:rRNA from 1 species